AUUGAACGCUGGCGGCAUGCUUUACACAUGCAAGUCGAACGGCAGCACAGGGAGCUUGCUCCUGGGUGGCGAGUGGCGAACGGGUGAGUAAUGUAUCGGAACGUGCUUGGUAGUGGGGGAUAACUACUCGAAAGAGUGGCUAAUACCGCAUGAGAUCUUUGGAUGAAAGCGGGGGACCUUCGGGCCUCGUGCUACUGGAGCGGCCGAUAUCAGAUUAGGUUGUUGGUGGGGUAAAGGCCUACCAAGCCUGCGAUCUGUAGCUGGUCUGAGAGGACGACCAGCCACACUGGGACUGAGACACGGCCCAGACUCCUACGGGAGGCAGCAGUGGGGAAUUUUGGACAAUGGGCGCAAGCCUGAUCCAGCAAUGCCGCGUGCAGGACGAAGGCCUUCGGGUUGUAAACUGCUUUUGUACAGAACGAAAAGUCUCUGGCUAAUAUCUAGAGAUCAUGACGGUACUGUAAGAAUAAGCACCGGCUAACUACGUG
rnacentral:rRNA from 1 species